rnacentral:rRNA from 1 species
AUUGAACGCUGGCGGCAGGCCUAACACAUGCAAGUCGAGCGGAUGAAGGGAGCUUGCUCCUGGAUUCAGCGGCGGACGGGGGGGUAAUGCCUAGGAAUCUGCCUGGUAGUGGGGGAUAGCGUCCGGAAACGGGCGCUAAUACCGCAUACGUCGUGAGGUAGAAAGUGGGGGGGCUUCGGACCGCACGCUAUCAGAGGAGCCUAGGUCGGACUAGCUAGUCUGUGGGGUAACGGCCUACCGAGGCUAAUAUCCGUAACUGGUCUGAGGGGAUGACCCGACAGCUUGGAAGUGAGGCAGGUCCCACACUCCUACGCUGGGCCGCAGUCCGGACUCCUGCACGAUGCACGAGAGCCUGAUACAGCCCUGCCGCCGGAGUGAUGAAGGUCUUCGGACUGUAAAGCGCUUUAGGUUGUGAGGAAGGACAGCAAGUUUAUCCGUUGCUGUUUUGACGUUACCGGCAGAAUAAGCACCGGCUAACUUCGUG